rnacentral:lncRNA from 1 species
GUACUCCUGCCACGAAUUGGGUUGGGAUCUGAAAUCCCCUCGCCUUGACUUCUACCUUUGGACUGGUAUUCGGGAGCUGAUACCCUCUGAGCUGGGUAUAGAGUUCUAGAUCAUCCUUAUGCUCCCAGAAAGAUACCGCCUUGCAGUUCUCCACCAGCAAAAUCUCCAGCAGGCUCUGUGGAGAGGAACCACGCUCUCCCCGACACACAGGGCACGCUCAGCAGAACAAGGAAAACUUCCCAAGUUCUGUGAUUCAGCCCAGAAGGAGCCAUGUAGCAAACAGGUUGCAGCAGGCAGCUUGGAGAAGAGGAUUCUCUACCUCUGUUUGCCAUCUUGUAUGGGAACAGUUGAGUCAUGGACUUGGGCUACUCUGCCAAACUUUACAUUGGAUGCUGGUCAGUUCAACUCAAGGCCUUACCCUUGUGCAGCAAGGACACGUGUCCGAAGGAAAACAUGGACCCUGACCUGGUGUGCUCAUGAUCUACUAAGUAGAUAACAACAAGCAAUUAGAAUACAGAGUGUCUGCAGAGAAAGCUGAGGCGACACAAGAGAGAAACAACUGAUCUAAUGGACUUGUAUACGUUGGAUUUGGCUGUAGGUGACAGAAAAGCUCAAACUUGGGCCAGUGAGCUGGCUCAGUGGGUAAAGGUGCUUGCCAACAAGCCUGACCGAUGAUAUGAGUGUGAUACCCCAGAAAUCACAUGAAAGGAGAGAACCAACUCCCAGAAGUGCACACACUCACACUCCAAGCAGUUAAAAGUCUGGAAAUAAUUAGUCCAGAGCUAAUGCAAUAGAUCCGGGGUCGUAAAAGCCCUGGUGCUUUUCCUUACACUGCUUCCCAGCCCCUGCCAUCUUCAACAGUUCUUCUACCUCCAUGGCCCGCCAUCAUCAGUCAGGUUCUAGGCAACCUAAAGGGAGAUGGACUGGGAAAUGGCACAGUGGCCUUUUAGCACGAGUUUCCCAAAGUGGCACAAAAUACUUCUGUCCAAGCCAUGGGCCAGCACUUGGUCACACAGCCACACCUAACUGCCAGGAAUUCUGGAAAAUAAAAAAAAAAUUUUUUUUUUUUUUUUUUUUACU